AGGGUUAUAACCUUGUGACCUUUGAACUUUUCGUGGAGCACUCUUCUUCUUCGCGCAAACGGCAAAGACGGCGGCGAAGAUUACUCUACUCCGGCGAAAUUCUUCAGUUUUCCGUCGUGAUCGGAAGCGAACACUCAACCUCCGGUCUCAUUCUCUUGCUUUCGUCUCUGUCUCAAACUCUCUUCUCGUCUUCGACCUCUCCGAUUCACUCAAAGUAACAGCCACCGGAGCCACUCCCUCCGACGGUGGAUGCGACGGAAAAUUCUGAAAGACCAGAGAACAGAUUGAUUCGAUAACGAUCUUGGCCUUUUCUUCCAAUCGAACUCGGCGUUGAAACUUGUUGAAUGCCUUUUGUCGCAGGUUGUAGAAGAUGACGGCGAGUUAUUGAUGGAGUUGCAGUAUGACGGUGAAAUUGUACUUGAAGAUUGAUGUUACGAUGUUGGUGAAUUCAUGAAGGGCGAACGUUGGAUAUGACGAGUGAUGGCGAUUCGGUUACAGGAUGGAGAACGAAGAACGAUAGAGUUGUGUUGAAGAUGUGCGUUGAAGAUGAAGCGCUUCUAGUUUUUGUGGUGAUUGAAGAGGUUCUUGAAUCUGAAUUUUGGUUACAAAUUUUGGUAGAGAUAAAGCUCUGAAGAUUGGUUGAAGAACGAUUCUGGAUUGAAGUUUGGUGAUGAAGAAGAUGACUAGGAGAGAAGUAUGAGGAUUCGAUUGAGAUUUUCGUUUCUUGCCGGUUUGGAGGUUAUCAAGAGUUGAUGUUGUUUGAAGGUUGGUCAAUGAAGAGGUUGAAUCGAGAGAAUGAAGGUUGAUGAAGGUGAGUUUUUGAAGUGAAUGAGAGGGCUGAGAACUCUGUUAUGGAUCAGAGAUGAGAGUGAAGAUUGAGAGGGUGAGGAGUAUGAAUCUGGAAAAAAUGAUAGAGAGCUUCUGAAUUGGUGGUGGUUCUGGUUAUAUAGCUUUCAAGGUCUUGGUUUGAAGGAUGCAGUAUUUUUCUUUUGAAUGCUGUCAAGGGUCAGUUGCAAAGCGGUAGUUAGGAUUUGGUAUGGUAUGAUGGAGGCGGCAAGUUCGGGUGGUAGUUUGGCAUGUACGAAAACGGUGAAGCGUGGAUCAGCGUUCAAAUUAACUUCAAAAGUGAGUUGCGAUCCCGUUAUGAACUUGGUGUCGGCGUAUUAUAAGCAUUGAGCCAUCUUCGUUGACGAAGCAUGACUUGCCGUGAAGGAUGAAGAUGAAGCCAAGACCUUUUUUGUAAUUUCUAUGUAAUGGUGAUGAAAUAUAGUUUAGCCUUUUGUUUAAUGUAGCUCAGUGAUGAAACAUGUAAUAGAAUUCGAGUCUCGACUUUGUGAUGGAAUUUUGUGUAUGCAUGCUGGUGUAAUGAUGUAAUUGUUAUGAAUGUAUGCUACUGAAGUGUGGCUUUUCCUUGGAAUGUAUGGAUACUACCAAGUAGUUUCUUGAAUGAAAAAUGG